rnacentral:rRNA from 1 species
AGAGUUUGAUCCGGCUCAGGACGAACGCUGGCGGCGUGCCUAAUACAUGCAAGUCGAGCGAGCGGAACCAACAGAUUUACUUCGGUAAUGACGUUGGGAAAGCGAGCGGCGGAUGGGUGAGUAACACGUGGGGAACCUGCCCCUAAGUCUGGGAUACCAUUUGGAAACAGGUGCUAAUACCGGAUAAUAAAGCAGAUCGCAUGAUCAGCUUUUGAAAGGCGGCGUAAGCUGUCGCUAAGGGAUGGCCCCGCGGUGCAUUAGCUAGUUGGUAAGGUAACGGCUUACCAAGGCGACGAUGCAUAGCCGAGUUGAGAGACUGAUCGGCCACAUUGGGACUGAGACACGGCCCAAACUCCUACGGGAGGCAGCAGUAGGGAAUCUUCCACAAUGGACGCAAGUCUGAUGGAGCAACGCCGCGUGAGUGAAGAAGGUUUUCGGAUCGUAAAGCUCUGUUGUUGGUGAAGAAGGAUAGAGGUAGUAACUGGCCUUUAUUUGACGGUAAUCAACCAGAAAGUCACGGCUAACUACGUGCCAGCAGCCGCGGUAAUACGUAGGUGGCAAGCGUUGUCCGGAUUUAUUGGGCGUAAAGCGAGCGCAGGCGGA